rnacentral:lncRNA from 1 species
GCUAGAUCAUAGAAUCAUAGAUUUAAAGUAGAGGCCAAGGAGUCCCUUCAUCUUGCAGAUAGGGCAUUAGGCCCCAAGUGACUUGCCACUAACAAUGUAGUAGUGUGCCUGUCCCUCCACAACCCAUCUGACAUGGAGUGUUGCCUUCUUUUGUCCUCUCUGCCAUCCCUUUCACUUUUAAUCUAUGAUCCUAUGAGAUUAUAUGCUUUUUGUACAGGUAAGAGUGUACAACUGCACUAAUACCUUGGGGACACCGUGACCCUAAGAGGUGGGCGGUGGGAGCAAAUCACAGUCUUAGUUGUGUAGUGAAUCCAAUUGAGAUUGCAACCUCGACCCUUCCCCCACUAGGGGGCGGAGAAUUUCCUGUUCGAAACUCAAGGCGGGAAGAUGAGGGGGAAGAGAAAAGAGGAUAAAAAAAGGAAACCACGUGCAUGUCCUCGUGACCCGGAAGCAAACUCCUUUGCUCUUUUCCCCGUCCCGUCACUUCCGCCACCCCUCUGUCAGCGGGAGGGAUACAGCUUAUUGGUCCGGCCUGUAGCUUCAGCUGCUGGCUUCGCCGCCGCCAUCACCAUGAUUCAGUUUUUGGAUUUACACUCGGCAAUGUGGUCGGGAUGUAUCUGGCUCAGAACUAUGACAUUCCGAACUUGGCCAAAAAGCUUGAAGAGAUUAAAAAAGAUAUAG